ACCACUUGGUCUUUGGCUAAAAUCAGGGUAGUAUCUGUUCUUAUCGUUUUAUUAUCUGAUAGGCCCCCUCUCUGGGGUCCAUUUAUUAUUAAUGGCUUUUAGAACAAGGAGAUGGAAAAAGAGCUUUCUCUUACCACUCCACGUCUUGACCUGGUAUUGCAGUGCUUCUAGGACCGGUACACAAAAC